rfam:Salmo salar isolate Sally breed double haploid chromosome ssa01, whole genome shotgun sequence.
CAGUUACAGUCUUGUAAGUCGCUCUGGAUAAGAGCGUCUGCUAAAUGACUUAAA